GAUGAACGCUGGCGGCGUGCCUAAUACAUGCAAGUCGAGCGAACAGACGAGGAGCUUGCUCCUCUGACGUUAGCGGCGGACGGGUGUGUAACACGUGUAUAACCUCCCUAUAAGACGGGGAUAACUUCGGGAAACCGGAGCUAAUACCGGAUAAUAUAUUGAAGCACAGUGGUCGAUAGUGAGAUUCGGUUUUGCUGUCACGUCUCGAUGGAUCCGCGCCGCAUUGGCUAGUUGUUAAGGUAACGGCUUAUCAAGGGAAGGAGGCGUAGCCGACCUGAGAGGGUGAUCGGCCACAUGGGAACGGAGACACGGACCAGACUCCUACGGGAGGCAGCAGUAGGGAAUCUUCCGCAAUGGGCGAAAGCCUGACGGAGUAACGCCGCGUGAGUGAUGAAGGUCUUCGGAUCGUAAAACUCUGUUAUUAGGGAAGAACAAAUGUGUAAGUAACUAUGCACGUCUUGACGGUACCUAAUCAGAAAGCUACGGCUAACUACGUG
rnacentral:rRNA from 1 species